UGAGGAAUAUUGGUCAAUGGGCGAGAGCCUGAACCAGCCAAGUAGCGUGCAGGGUGACGGCCCUAUGGGUUGUAAACUGCUUUUAUGUGGGGAUAAAGUGCGUGACGUGUCAUGCAUUGCAGGUACCACAUGAAUAAGGACCGGCUAAUUCCGUGCCAGCAGCCGCGGUAAUACGGAAGGUCCGGGCGUUAUCCGGAUUUAUUGGGUUUAAAGGGAGCGUAGGCUGUCUAUUAAGCGUGUUGUGAAAUUUACCGGCUCAACCGGUGGCUUGCAGCGCGAACUGGUCGACUUGAGUAUGCAGGAAGUAGGCGGAAUUCAUGGUGUAGCGGUGAAAUGCUUAGAUAUCAUGAAGAACUCCGAUUGCGAAGGCAGCUUACGGGAGCGCAACUGACGCUGAAGCUCGAAGGUGCGGGUAUCGAACAGG
rnacentral:rRNA from 1 species